UGCGGCGCCGCUAUGAACGCUUUGUGAGCUACAUUAUACAUUCAACUAAAUAAUGUAGCUCACAAAGCGUUCAAGUCGGCACCAAG
rnacentral:pre_miRNA from 1 species